CCUACGGGGGGCUGCAGUGGGGAAUAUUGGACAAUGGGGGGAACCCUGAUCCAGCCAUGCCGCGUGUGUGAAGAAGGCCCUCGGGUUGUAAAGCACUUUCAGUGAGGAAGAACGCCUGGUGGUUAAUACCCAUCAGGAAAGACAUCACUCACAGAAGAAGCACCGGCUAACUCCGUGCCAGCAGCCGCGGUAAUACGGAGGGUGCGAGCGUUAAUCGGAAUUACUGGGCGUAAAGCGCGCGUAGGUGGCUUGAUAAGCCGGUUGUGAAAGCCCCGGGCUCAACCUGGGAACGGCAUCCGGAACUGUCAAGCUAGAGUGCAGGAGAGGAAGGUAGAAUUCCCGGUGUAGCGGUGAAAUGCGUAGAGAGCGGGAGGAAUACCAGUGGCGAAGGCGGCCUUCUGGACUGACACUGACACUGAGGUGCGAAAGCGUGGGUAGCAAACAGGAUUAGAUACCCCGGUAGUC
rnacentral:rRNA from 1 species